GGGGUAGCUUGCUACCCGCUGACGAGCGGCGGACGGGUGAGUAAUGCAUAGGAAUCUGCCCGGUAGUGGGGGAUAACCUGGGGAAACCCAGGCUAAUACCGCAUACGUCCUACGGGAGAAAGGGGGCUCCGGCUCCCGCUAUUGGAUGAGCCUAUGUCGGAUUAGCUAGUUGGUGAGGUAAUGGCUCACCAAGGCGACGAUCCGUAGCUGGUCUGAGAGGAUGAUCAGCCACAUCGGGACUGAGACACGGCCCGAACUCCUACGGGAGGCAGCAGUGGGGAAUAUUGGACAAUGGGCGAAAGCCUGAUCCAGCCAUGCCGCGUGUGUGAAGAAGGCCCUCGGGUUGUAAAGCACUUUCAGCGAGGAAGAACGCCUAGUGGUUAAUACCCACUAGGAAAGACAUCACUCGCAGAAGAAGCACCGGCUAACUCCGUGCCAGCAGCCGCGGUAAUACGGAGGGUGCAAGCGUUAAUCGGAAUUACUGGGCGUAAAGCGCGCGUAGGUGGCUUGAUAAGCCGGUUGUGAAAGCCCCGGGCUCAACCUGGGAACGGCAUCCGGAACUGUCAAGCUAGAGUGCAGGAGAGGAAGGUAGAAUUCCCG
rnacentral:rRNA from 1 species